AUUAAUUAUUAGUAGUAUUACUUUUUGAGAGAGUUUUGCUCUUGUUGCCCAGGCUGGAGUGCAAUGGCGUGAUCUCAGCUCACUGCAACCGCCGCCUCACAAGUUCAAGGGAUUCUCCUGCCUCAGCUUCCCAAAGUGCUGGGAUUACAGACGUGAGCCACCUCGCCCUGCCUAUUUCAAAAAAAUUUUUAAAUACAAAUGGGCCCGGUGUGGUAAGAUUAGAUUGACAGUUAUAAAAGAUUAGAUUAGGUGCAGUGGCUCACACCUGUAAUCCCAGCACUUUGAGAGGGUGGCGGGCUGAUCAUGAGGUCAGGAGUUUGAGAACAGCCUGGCCAACCCUGGUGAAAUCCUGUCUCUACUAGAUACAAAAAAUUAGCCGGGCAUGGUGGCUGUGCCUGUAAUCCCAGCUACUCGGGAGGCUGAAGCAGAAUUGCUUGAACCUGGGAGGCAGAGGUUGCACUGAGCCAAUAUCGUGCCAUUGCACUCCAGCCUGGGUGACAGGGUGAGACUCCAUCUCAAAAAACAAAACGAAAAAAAGGCCGGGCACGGUGGCUCACGCCUAUAAUCCCACCCAGCACUUUGGGAGGCUGAGGUGGGCGGAUCAUGAGGUCAAGAGAUCGAGACCGUCGUGGCUAACAUGGUGAAACCCCCAUCUCUACUAAAAAUUUAAAAAAAAUUUUUUUAAAUUAGCUGGGCAUGGUGGCGGGCACCUGUAGUCCCAGCUACUCGGGAGGCUGAGGCAGGAGAAUGGCGUGAACCCGGGAGGCAGAGCUUUCAGUGAGCUGAGAUCACGCCACUGCACUCCAGCCUGGGCGACAGAGCGAGACUCCGUCUCAAAAAGAAAAAAAAUUGUAGGCCGGGCACAGUGGCUCAUGCCUGUAAUCCCAGCACUUUGGGAGGCCGAGGUGGGCAGAUUAUGAAGUCAGGAGAUCGAGACCAUCCUGGCUAACAUGGUGAAACCCCGUCUCUACUAAAACUACAAAAAGUAGCCAGGCGUGGUGGUGGGCGCCUGUAGUCCCACCUACUCAGGAGGCUUAGGCAGAAGAA
rnacentral:lncRNA from 1 species